UAGGGAAUCUUCGGCAAUGGACGAAAGUCUGACCGAGCAACGCCGCGUGAGUGAAGAAGGUUUUCGGAUCGUAAAACUCUGUUGUUAGAGAAGAACAAGGACGUUAGUAACUGAACGUCCCCUGACGGUAUCUAACCAGAAAGCCACGGCUAACUACGUGCCAGCAGCCGCGGUAAUACGUAGGUGGCAAGCGUUGUCCGGAUUUAUUGGGCGUAAAGCGAGCGCAGGCGGUUUCUUAAGUCUGAUGUGAAAGCCCCCGGCUCAACCGGGGAGGGUCAUUGGAAACUGGGAGACUUGAGUGAAGGAGAGGAGGGUGGAAUUCCAUGUGGAGCGGUGAAAUGCGUAGAUAUAUGGAGGAACACCAGUGGCGAAGGCGGCUCUCUGGUCUGUAACUGACGCUGAGGCUCGAAAGCGUGGGGAGCAAACAGG
rnacentral:rRNA from 1 species